AAUGCUUUACACAUGCAAGUCGAACGGCAGCACGGGGGCAACCCUGGUGGCGAGUGGCGAACGGGUGAGUAAUAUAUCGGAACGUGCCCAGUCGUGGGGGAUAACGUAGCGAAAGUUACGCUAAUACCGCAUACGAUCUACGGAUGAAAGCGGGGGAUCGCAAGACCUCGCGCGAUUGGAGCGGCCGAUAUCAGAUUAGGUAGUUGGUGGGGUAAAGGCUCACCAAGCCAACGAUCUGUAGCUGGUCUGAGAGGACGACCAGCCACACUGGGACUGAGACACGGCCCAGACUCCUACGGGAGGCAGCAGUGGGGAAUUUUGGACAAUGGACGCAAGUCUGAUCCAGCCAUUCCGCGUGCAGGACGAAGGCCUUCGGGUUGUAAACUGCUUUUGUACGGAACGAAAAAGCUCUUACUAAUACUAGGAGUCCAUGACGGUACCGUAAGAAUAAGCACCGGCUAACUACGUGCCAGCAGCCGCGGUAAUACGUAGGGUGCGAGCGUUAAUCGGAAUUACUGGGCGUAAAGCGUGCGCAGGCGGUUAUAUAAGACAGAUGUGAAAUCCCCGGGCUCAACCUGGGAACUGCAUUUGUGACUGUAUAGCUAGAGUGCGGCAGAGGGGGAUGGAAUUCCGCGUGUAGCAGUGAAAUGCGUAGAUAUGCGGAGGGAACACCGAUGGCGGAAGGCA
rnacentral:rRNA from 1 species